CCGUGCGAAGGUGAAAACACGGUCCGGUCGGUAGUCCGGACGCGAACCCUAUGCCGCGCUCGACGCGUCAACGGCUUCGUCAGUAACCUGCCUCCUUGGUUGUCCGUCCUUCGCGCAGCAACC
rfam:Eggerthella lenta DSM 2243, complete genome.